rnacentral:rRNA from 1 species
CCUACGGGAGGCAGCAGUGGGGAAUAUUGCACAAUGGGGGAAACCCUGAUGCAGCGACGCCGCGUGAGUGAAGAAGUAAUUCGUUAUGUAAAGCUCUAUCAGCGGGGAGGAAAAUGACGGUACCUGAGAAAGAAGCCCGGGCUAACUACGUGCAAGCAGCCGCGGUAAUACGUAGGGGGCAAGCGUUAUCCGGAUUUACUGGGUGUAAGGGGAGCGUAGACGGCAGGGCAAGUCUGGAGUGAAAGGCGGGGGUGCAACCCCCGGACUGCUCUGGAAACUGUACGGCUGGAGUGCAGGAGAGGUAAGUGGAAUUCCUAGUGUAGCGGUGAAAUGCGUAGAUAUUAGGAGGAACACCAGUGGCGAAGGCGGCUUACUGGACUGUAACUGACGUUGAGGCUCGAAAGCGUGGGGAGCAAACAGGAUUAGAUACCCCGGUAGUC